ensembl:lncRNA LINC00690 long intergenic non-protein coding RNA 690
AGAUUCUAGGAAAGGGAAUAUAGACACCUCUGCCCUAAUAAGAGGACUCACCCUGUAAGAGGGGCAUGUGGAAUGGGAGGUAUUAUGGCUGCCAUCUUUAGAAAUUACAAUUUGCCACAGGUUGUGUUCCCUAGAAGCAGAGGUUGAAAUAGGGGUUCUUUUGUGAGUUAAGGAAGAGGGAGAAGCUAAGCGAGGAUGUAGCUUCAGGUGAAGUCCAGCUUCAACCUGAUCUUGUAGGCAGCACUGGAUCUCACAUUGUCUGCAGCAUUUGUCCUUCCUUGAGGCAAAAAAGUGGGGCUUUUGUACACACAUAUCAGUCAACCCUUAGCUUAGGGAAGCCCCAGGGGAAGGGUUGUAACUCCUAGGUAUCUCGUAGACAGGCAACUCCUCUUGCUUAAAGGCAUUUCCCAGACAAGGCUUGCUCUGUGAGCCUUUAAUAGCAGUUAAUAAAAAGAUUGCCAGAGAUCUGAUUGGGACUGCAACAGCCUCAGCUACAUUAAGAUAUGGGGGCACAUUCAAGGCCUGUUUUAUAGAGACUAGCAGAGACCAUAUAAGAAUCACUAACAUGAGCUGCAUACGCUGGAGGCCCCUCUGCUGUCAUUAUUUUAUGUGCUGGAAAACGCUGCGAUGGGAAGACAGCCCAGUCAGAUGGGGAUGGCCUGGAAUAGGAGCCAGGAUCUCUUGGCAUACAUUUACCUCAGCCGCACUCUUCAGUGCUCUGCAUCCAGGCUACGCGGAGGCUGCAUGUUACAGGAGCCGUGCAUCCCUGAAGACUUGGAAUAAGUCAAGAUUUACAUAAUCCCAGAGACAUCCUUCCAAAGCGUGAUAGUAACUCUGUUCCAUGGCUGGAGUGGCUCCUCCAGGUGCCAGCAGCAUAAACCCACCUUUCAAUCAGUCUGCAGCUCAGAAAUACUACCUGAUUCUAGACAGGCUUUUCAACGUAAUAGGUUGAAUUAUUAUGUCUUGUACAUAAAUUAAGACUUUACAUUUUUAUACUGCUAUUUAUAAUGUAUAUAAUGCAAAUCCAUGUAAACUAUGGUUA